UACGGAGGGUGCGAGCGUUGUCCGGAAUCAUUGGGCGUAAAGCGCACGUAGGCGGCUUUGUAAGUUAGAGGUGAAAGCCCGGGGCUCAACUCCGGAAUUGCCUUUAAGACUGCAUCGCUAGAAUUGUGGAGAGGUAAGUGGAAUUCCGAGUGUAGAGGUGAAAUUCGUAGAUAUUCGGAAGAACACCAGUGGCGAAGGCGACUUACUGGACACAUAUUGACGCUGAGGUGCGAAAAGCGUGGGGAGCAAACAGG
rnacentral:rRNA from 1 species